AUACUUACCUGGCAGGGGAGAUACCAUGAUCAUGAAGGUGGUUCACCCAGGGCGAGGCUCGGCCAUUGCACUCCGGUUGUGCUGACCCCUGCGAAUUCCCCAAAUGUGGGAAUCUCGACUGCAUAAUUUGUGGUAGUGGGGGACUGCGUUCGCGCUCUCCCCUG
ensembl:snRNA U1 U1 spliceosomal RNA